rnacentral:rRNA from 1 species
GACGAACGCUAGCUACAGGCUUAACACAUGCAAGUCGAGGGGCAGCACCGGUAUAGCUUGCUAUUCUGGGUGGCGACCGGCGCACGUGUGAGUAACGCGUCUCCACCCUGCCCAUUACUCCGGGAUAACCGUGCGAAAGUCAGAUUAAUACCUGAUGUUGUUUGUUUGCUGCAUGGUGAAUUAACUAAAGCUUGAUUGGUAAUGGAUGGGGAUGCGUAACAUUAGGUAGUUGGUGAGGUAACGGCUCACCAAGCCUACGAGGGUUAGGGGUUGUGGGCGGAAGGGCCCCCACACUGGAAUGGAGACACGGUCCAGACUCCUACGGGAGGCAGCAGUGAGGAAUAUUGGACAAUGGACUAGAGUCUGGACCUGCCAAGUAGCGUGCAGGAUGGCGGCCCUGUGUGUUGUAAACUGACUUUAGUUGGGAAUGAAAGAUAGCCCGUGUGUUAUGUAUUGUAUGUACCAUCAGAAAAAGGACCGGCUAAUUCCGUGCCAGCCGCCGCGGUAAGAC